CAAUGGUGUUAAUUUACGGUGUAAGAGAGCUCUCUGUCUAGUACUACAGAACAGUGGGUCUAGGGCCCCCACUGAAAUCUGAAUUUUUAAUACAUUUUACUACGGUUAGCUGGCAGGAAUCUUUAGAAAGUACAGUGGGAGAGCAGUAAGUAACAGGCACACCACACACACCUUCAGACAUUAUGAUUUUCCAUUUAGAUUCAGUCAGAAAGGGUCGCAGCAUAUGAACAAACUGCUCAGACUGAUCAAACAGUGUGAACCAAAAGAAAUGUGGUAUUUCAAAAUCUGAGAAAAAAGACAUCCGCUUCCCGGAACUGCUAAUAACAUCACAACAAAAGGAGCUGAAAGGAAUGGAAGCUAAACAGGUAAAAAUGCUGAAGAGGGAGGCAAAGAAUUCUGAAGUAUCUAAAAUACCUUCUUUACUCAAUGUUGAUCAAUGUCAAGAAAAACAAGAGACUGUGGAAAAAACACACAAAAUAAAUUCAAGCAAUCUUUCCUGGAAUAAGCAAUGUACCAGCAUGUGAAACUGUAGAAUCUUUGUAGAGUAAAAUCUUUGUUCUUUUCUUCAUCUUUGAGAAGUUAAUAUGGCUGUUUAAUGAUGUGGGGGAUUUUAUAAGUUUGCUGUGGUAUGUAUGCACUCCACAGGAAUAGUUUCAAUGUGUUGAUCAUGAAACAACUGAUAUUUACUUAAAAAUGCAUAUUUAUACUAACUCUUAAGCAUCUGAUUUUAUAGGUGUUUCUUGUCUCAUUAGUGGCCACUUCGAGCUGGCCACACUUACACCUUUUACAAUAAUAUCUAAACAUUCUUUUAAUCCUGAGACAAGUAUAUUCUCUGGAGGGAGAAAUUUACAUUAAAGGUAUGUAUGAAUACAGACAAAAUUUAUACUUUCACAUUAAAAAGCAAGAUCAGGCUGUCUGGCUUUUUCCUGCAGUUACGCAUACUAUUAACAUACUAUCAGUAUUACAUGCUCAACUCAUCCCAAAUGAUGUGAAUAACAAUUAAUUAGCUCAGCCUUUCCAAAGGUUCUGUUAUUUAUUUCUCUUGCAGAUGAUCACCCCCUGUGUUAUAAAUAUGUUAAGGUAACACUGGAUUGAGUGUUCUAACCAACAUUUUGUCAUAGUUUCUGAAAAUAAAGUGAAUGAAG
rnacentral:lncRNA from 1 species